rnacentral:rRNA from 1 species
AUUCGAUAAUACACGAAAAACCUUACCAAGGUUUGACAUCCCUCGCAAAGCUAUAGAAAUAUAGUAGAGGUUAUCGAGGUGACAGGUGGUGCAUGGCGGUCGUCAGCUCGUGUCUUGAGAUGUUUGGUUAAGUCCCGCAACGAGCGCAACCCCACUCUUUAGUUACUUGUCUAAAGAGACUGCACAGUAAUGUAGAGGAAGGAUGGGAUCACGUCAAGUCAUCAUGCCCCUUAUGCCUUGGGCUGCAAACGUGCUACAAUGGCGAACACAAUGUGUUGCAAACCAGCGAUGGUAAGCUAAUCACCAAAUUUCGUCUCAGUUCGGAUAGGAGGCUGCAAUUCGCCUCCUUGAAGUUGGAAUCACUA